CAGUAGCCGCGGUAAUACGAAGGUCCCAAGCGUUGUUCGGAAUCACUGGGCGUAAAGGGAGCGUAGGCGGCGUGGUAAGUCAGAUGUGAAAUCCCGGGGCUCAACCCCGGAACUGCAUCCGAUACUGCCAUGCUUGAGGGUUGGAGAGGUGACUGGAAUUCUCGGUGUAGCAGUGAAAUGCGUGGAUAUCGAGAGGAACACUCGUGGCGAAGGCGAGUCACUGGACAACAUCUGACGCUGAGGCUCGAAGGCUAGGGUAGCGAAAGGGAUUAGAUACCCCCGUAGUCCCUGUCUCUUAUAA
rnacentral:rRNA from 1 species